rnacentral:rRNA from 1 species
AUUUAAAAUGUAAUUUUAAACGCUAAAGUAGUAUUAGUUAUGUUCUUGAAACUUAAAAAAUUUGGCGGUAUUUUAGUCUAUUCAGAGGAACCUGUUCUAUAAUCGAUAAUCCACGAUGGACCUUACUUAAAUUUGUUAAUCAGUUUAUAUACCGUCGUUAUCAGAAUAUUUUAUAAGAAUAAUAAUUUUCAUAAAAUUUUAUUAAAAUGUAUAUCAGAUCAAGGUGUAGCUUAUAUUUAAGAAGAAAUGGGUUACAAUAAAUUUAUUUAAACGGAAGUAAAUAUGAAAAAUUUAUUGAAGGUGGAUUUGAUAGUAAAAUUAUAAAGAUUAAUAAUUUGAUUUUAGCUCUAAAAUAUGU